rnacentral:snoRNA from 2 species
ACCCUCUCAGGGUUGCAAUUGGAGGGUUUCCAGAACUCUACCAGUCUUGAGUAGGGGAGGGAGAGUCAAGCAGAGGCAUACCCAUUCCACUCCUAGUUUGGCCAGUGACUAGAAAGUGGAAGGCAAUCUGCUAAAAGU